GUGCUCACUUAGGCAGCAAAUGUACUAAAAUUGGAACAAUACGGAGAUUAGAAUGGCCCCUGUGCAAGGUGACACACAAAUUCAGGAAGCAUUUCACGUUUAA
ensembl:snRNA U6 U6 spliceosomal RNA